rnacentral:rRNA from 1 species
ACCCAGACCGCCAGCUAAGGUCCCAAAGUCAUGGUUAAGUGGGAAACGAUGUGGGAAGGCCCAGACAGCCAGGAUGUUGGCUUAGAAGCAGCCAUCAUUUAAAGAAAGCGUAAUAGCUCACUGGUCGAGUCGGCCUGCGCGGAAGAUGUAACGGGGCUAAACCAUGCACCGAAGCUGCGGCAGCGACACUAUGUGUUGUUGGGUAGGGGAGCGUUCUGUAAGCCUGUGAAGGUGGCCUGUGAGGGUUGCUGGAGGUAUCAGAAGUGCGAAUGCUGACAUAAGUAACGAUAAAGCGGGUGAAAAGCCCGCUCGCCGGAAGACCAAGGGUUCCUGUCCAACGUUAAUCGGGGCAGGGUGAGUCGACCCCUAAGGCGAGGCCGAAAGGCGUAGUCGAUGGGAAACAGGUUAAUAUUCCUGUACUUGGUGUUACUGCGAAGGGGGGACGGAGAAGGCUAUGUUGGCCGGGCGACGGUUGUCCCGGUUUAAGCGUGUAGGCUGGUUUUCCAGGCAAAUCCGGAAAAUCAAGGCUGAGGCGUGAUGACGAGGCACUACGGUGCUGAAGC